rnacentral:rRNA from 1 species
AGUGAACGCUGGCGGUAGGCCUAACACAUGCAAGUCGAACGGCAGCACAGUAAGAGCUUGCUCUUACGGGUGGCGAGUGGCGGACGGGUGAGGAAUACAUCGGAAUCUACUUUUUCGUGGGGGAUAACGUAGGGAAACUUACGCUAAUACCGCAUACGACCUACGGGUGAAAGCAGGGGAUCUUCGGACCUUGCGCGAUUGAAUGAGCCGAUGUCGGAUUAGCUAGUUGGCGGGGUAAAGGCCCACCAAGGCGACGAUCCGUAGCUGGUCUGAGAGGAUGAUCAGCCACACUGGAACUGAGACACGGUCCAGACUCCUACGGGAGGCAGCAGUGGGGAAUAGUGGACAAUGGGCGCAAGCCGGAUCCAGCCAUACCGCGUGGGUGAAGAAGGCCUUCGGGUUGUAAAGCCCUUUUGUUGGAAAAGAAAAGCAGCAGGUUAAUACCCCGCUGUUCUGACGGUACCCAAAGAAUAAGCACCGGCUAACUUCG